rnacentral:lncRNA from 1 species
AUCCACACGACUCUAAUCUCCUCCAAUCAGAUCUUCAAGCCCUGUGUCUUUGGUCUUCUACGUCGAAGUUAAAGUUCAACUUGAAGAAAUGUUCUGGAAUAAGAUUUUCACGGAAACGUUGUAUUGAGUCUCCCGAUUGCUUUUUAUGCUCCAGUCAGAUCCCUUUUCAAUCAACUCAAAAGGAUCUUGGUAUACUUAUUACGAAUAACCUAAAAUGGUCGCCUCAUAUUUCUAACAUUGUUUCCAAAGCAAACCGCAUGCUUGGAUUUCUACGACGUAACUGCACAUAUUUAACUGAUACAAACUGUCGACGCUCUCUCUAUUUGACACUUGUUCGUACACACCUGUGCUAUGGCAGUGAAAUUUGGGCACCCCAAACAACAUCUAGGGACCUUCUUUGUCUUGAAAGUGUCCAAAGACGAGCAACCAAAUAUAUCCUUCAAGAUUUCAACUCAUCUUACACCAACCGUUUAAAGAAACUUAACCUACUGCCUAUUUCAUACUGGUUCGAAAUAAAAGAUAUUACGUUUUUUUAUAAAUGCAAAGCUGGUUAUUAUGACUUAACACUUGAAGACUAUAUUCCGGUCAAUUCUACUAAUCAUCACACUCGCUUUAGCUCUACUGAUUCAUACCGACCAAACCGUUGCAGAACAUCUUCUUUCCGAAACCUAUUUUUCAAUAGGAUAGUGCCACUUUGGAACAGCCUGCCAGGAGAAAUAAAAUCCUCUCUCUUUAUUCAGUUACUGAAACUUAAACUCUAUAAUCACUACACUCAAAAAGUUAAUGCAUGUUUUGAUGUUAAUAGGCCAAGGACUUGGAAAACGUUUUGCUCUAAAUGUCGUUCUUGUUUUACGUCCUGUUGUUCGUAGAAGUGCAUGUUCUGAGUUUUUGUACGAAUGUAAUUAUGUAAUACCGUAAAUAUGUAACUAGCUAUGUAUUUUGUUAAUUUUAUAACCGUUUAUAGUAUAGUAUAGCAUAGUAUAGCGUAGUAUAGCGUAGUAUUUUCAUGUAUGGCAGGACUUAAUUUGGGACUUUAUUAGUCCUGUUGUCUGUGCCUUCAAUUUCUUAUUGUAAAACUAAUAAAAAAAAAAAAUAAAAAAAAAUAAAAAUGGAUAAAAUAUAACUUUACAAAUUCCGAAUAAAAGCAUUUGGUAAUCUCAAGGUAUCUAGCACAAGAAUUCAAAGAAUACACGACAUGCGACGAUAUCUAGAUCUUGAUUUUAUUUCAAAAUUCUUUUCAGACCUACUAAUUACUAUCAACGUAUCGUGAUAUCAGGCCUUAAAAUAUCGGUUGGUCACGGACAUUGUCCAACCCAUUCGUGAAAUUGUCCGACGUAGAGAGGAAACCACCGGACAUUCUGUUCGACCAAAGUAAAACUGAGGUUUAUUGUUUGUCUGACCCGAGUGUAUAUUGCUGUCCAACCGAACUGUAGCUUUGUCCAACGUAAAUCAAAAUUACCCUAGUCCAGAACUAGAGGCUCGUAUGUUAAAUGGAGAAUCAGACUAGAGUAUAAAAAGUGAACUGGAAAUGUUGUUUUAAUGUAAUGAAGGGCGGGGCGGCGAGCGAAGUGAAGUAGAAAAAGGGCUUAAGUUGUGGAACUGUUACUGCUGUUCUUGGCAAGCAUGUUAAUUUUGGCUUGGAAAUAAAUAUGAAUGACACAAAUUAUUUAAUAUCUUCACAACAUUUGCCUAAUUCAGAAUUAAUACAUUGAGCUGAUAUUAAUUUGUUAUUUCCGAGCCACACUGAAUUGAAGGUCGUCACACACAUGUUCAACCCAAACUCAACGUCAUCGGACGUUUUGUCAGACUGCCCUGUAAAAAAUAUAUUAAGGCCUGCGUGAUAUUUAUAUACCGUACAUUGCCAUCACCUAAGUAUAUAUACUUCUAAAACUCAUUAAUAAUUCAUGAAGCAAUUAUCCAAUCUUGAGUAAGAAAUUAGUCACGUGCAUACGUCUUUAUACCAGCUAAAGAACACUUUAACAAAAGAC